UACGUAGGGUGCAAGCGUUGUCCGGAAUUAUUGGGCGUAAAGAGCUCGUAGGCGGUCUGUCGCGUCGGAUGUGAAAAUCCAGGGCUCAACCCUGGACCUGCAUUCGAUACGGGCAGACUAGAGUUCGGCAGGGGAGACUGGAAUUCCUGGUGUAGCGGUGAAAUGCGCAGAUAUCAGGAGGAACACCCGGUGGCGAAGGCGGGAUCUCGUGGGCCGAUGACUGACGCUGGAGGAGCGAAAGCGUGGGGAGCGAGCAGG
rnacentral:rRNA from 1 species